UGGCACAGCCGCCGGCCCAGCUGCCAGCGGCGCCCGGACAGCUCGUGCACCAGGCUCAGGGGCAUGACCAGAGCUGCCACCAGCACAUCCGAGAUGGCCAUGGACGCCACUAGGUUGUGCGGAACGCGGUGGAAGGUGCGCACGCGGAGAAUGGUGGCCAGCACCAGCAGGUUCCAGGAGAAGGUCGCGGCCACCAGAAAGCCCAGCAAGGCAUGGACAUCUGAACAAAUAUGUAAUUACUACAAAUAAAAAUAUUACUGCAAGAUGCAAGGUGAAAGCAGUCAUGUUUCUCCGGAUGUAAGCCCCCCUCGGGCAUGCUUUACCUCACCGACCCCAACUUCCCGAAGGCUCCCCUCUGAGCACCAAAGAAAUGAAGAGCACUGAUGACACCAAGUCAUGUAAGACAGAUGAGAGGAUCGCAGGGCACCAAGGAAGAAAACGAAGACAAGCCUAUGGGGAAGGGAAAUCUUGACAUGGCCCCGCUCAAGUCCCUGCAAAGCCUCUCUAUUUUAUUUGCAGUUUUGGAUCUUCACUCGACAUCAAGAAGGCUGUAAUUAAUCAUUUUAUAUCUGAAAAUAUCUGAUUUGGGAAAUAAUUAACCAUUCCCAGGAUGGGUUCCAAGAAGGUGCUGCCCAGAACAGACUGUGGCCAACAGGCAAACACCAAUGGGUUGAGUUUCAAGUGCACUGAUCUCUGAUGACUCUUUCUGUAAAUACCCCUGUUAAAGAGGGUAUAAAUGAAGCUGCUUUCUCUGAUUCUAAUGAACGUGUAGAUGAGUGGAAUAAAAUCCAUAAAUUACAAAGCUUAACAUUCAGUGUUUAUGAAUCCUCCAAUAUGUUGAAGAUUUUCCAUAGCAAUGGAACAUGGAACUCAACACCAUCUGCAUAUUGGUCUAAUUUUUUUGUCCUUCUGUGGAAUUUCUCAGAGCUGCUACACAUAGGCAAGUAGGUUGAGCAAAUUCUCCCACUUAGAAACAUGUUAGAAUUAUCUAGAACUCUGUUAAAUCACUCAAUAAUUGAAGGGGGUUCCCUGGGCCAAGGAUUCUGAAAGUAAAUUGCUUUUGUGUUCAUGGAGGUUGCUCUCUGCUUUUCACGGGCACUUUCCUUCCUCUCCACCGUGAGGGAGCAGACUCUUCUGAGUACGUGAGCAACACGGGGGCAAGAUGAACAGCCAUGCCGUCAACCCUGACCCCUCCGGUGAGGUUUUCUUAUGUUACGAAUGAAACAGCAGAAAGUCACUGCCUCCCAAUCGAAGGACACCAGCUGCUUCUUUCCUGUGAUUUUUCUUCUGAUUCAUCCUAUAACCUCCGUGCUCCCAACUGGUAAGCCACUUCCCGGGGUCUCUGUCUUUGAAGGAGCAGCAGGUGCGCAAGUAAAGAAGAUGAACCGAUUUAAACAGAGUUCAGAGUUACUUGUAAGCCUUGCCUAGGAAACAGAGGGUAGCAUUAGAACUUUGAUGUCACUGGGUUUUGAAUAUCUUAGAAAAUGUGUCUGGGACAGUCUAGGACUGUCUGGGAAUAGAAAGCAUAAACAUAGAGCGAUACUUCUUUAGAUUCAUUGUCCUUGGGUUUGUUCUAAGCUUCAGGUCCAAAAUACUCGUUCCUGUUAGGAAAUGGGGGGAAAAGGUAUUUGACUCACUUAAAGAGCCACAUACUUAAUUUUGUGGCCAGUUUCUCUUUGUGGACAUGUUGUUCAUAAAAACAGUUAUCACAAGUUGAAAUGUCUGGGGAUUUUUGGUAAUCAAAAUGGUUAUUAUUAAUAUCCUGGGGAAAUGUCCCUAAAUUCCCUAUAUUCAUCUUGACAGACACUGAAUUAUUUUCACUUCUUUUAGGUUAGUGCUGUUCUUUUUUCCAUGCAUGCCACUAGACAAUAGGCAUUCAUAUUCAAUACGCUAUGAACAAAUUUCACCAAGUCUUUACUCAUUUUCACCUGUGCUGUGCUAAUAAGUCUCAAACAGCUCGGUCAGGUCUCAGCAGCUGGCACUGUGCCCCCACUGAGCAUCACAAACCGAAAAAUGAUUAUUUGGGGAGGCUUCAUAAUUAUACUAAGAUGAAAACGUUGGCAGCCAGGAGAUACAUAUUUUUCAAGAUUUGAGAGAAAAUUUAAUGAAAGUGCCACAAACAUAUUACUUAGGAUGAUGAUUUGCACUUAAUAUGAGGCCCUUUCCUCUCUGGAUUUCAAAGUCUGGACUAAUUAAUUAGCCCUAAUCUCCCUGUUUUCCUGAUGGUCAAGCAUUCAGACAGACCCCGGAGAGCACAGAGUUAUCAGAGUGAGGCAGAAAGCGUGCCGACCGGGGCUAUGAGGCUGGUGGCUUAGUUUCCACCUGUUGGGUAUCAGUCUUUGUUUCUUCCACUUUUAAGUUUGUAGCCCUGGAGCCCUGCCCCCUUCCCCGCCCCCACCCCGAGUCAGCAAACCAAGACCCAAAGGCUAAAUCUGGCCCACUGCCUGUUUUGGCAAAUAAAGUUCUAUUGGAACACAACCUCGCUCAUUGGUAAGCACACUGUCUCUGGUGCUUUCGCGCUGCAGCAGUUACCGUAAGAAAUCAAAACAGACUCUGUGGAUCAUAAGACCUGAAAUAUUUUCUCCCUGGCCUAUCACAAAAAAGACUUUGCUGACCCAAGACCUAAACUUUCUGAACAUUUCUCCAUCUGUAAAAUAAAACUCAUCAGCCGAUAACAUAGCAACUUCAUGAGAAGAGUUCAGUUUUAAAUUUGCACAAUGAAGACUGUCUUUAAUGGUGCCUCAGAACCCGGGCAAAGAGUCCUUAGCAGUGAUAUUAAUUCAUUCAAAGGGCAGCCAUCUAUUCUUUAAAUAUGUGUCCACUGACCGCUUGACAUCAGGCAUCAUAGUAAACAGUGGGGGAGAUCCACAUUGAAGGAAAUAAGACUGGUUUCAGUUAGCAGUUCAGGGAUUAUGUGGGGAAGGGGUAUGCGAUGAAGAAGUAUUUCAAAAUAAAGUCUUU